UCCUACGGGAAGCAGCAGUGAGGAAUAUUGGUCAAUGGGCGAGAGCCUGAACCAGCCAAGUCGCGUGAAGGAAGAAGGACCUAUGGUUCGUAAACUUCUUUUGCAGGGGAAUAAAGUGCAGGACGUGUCCUGUUUUGUAUGUACCCUGAGAAUAAGGAUCGGCUAACUCCGUGCCAGCAGCCGCGGUAAUACGGAGGAUCCGAGCGUUAUCCGGAUUUAUUGGGUUUAAAGGGUGCGUAGGUGGUUUGAUAAGUCAGCGGUGAAAGUUUGCAGCUUAACUGUAAAAAUGCCGUUGAAACUGUCGGACUUGAGUGUAAAUGAGGUAGGCGGAAUGCGUGGUGUAGCGGUGAAAUGCUUAGAUAUCACGCAGAACUCCGAUUGCGAAGGCAGCUUACUAAGCUACAACUGACACUGAAGCACGAAAGCGUGGGGAUCAAACAGGAUUAGAUACCCUGGUAGUCCACGCAGUAAACGAUGAUUACUAGCUGUUUGCGAUACACAGUAAGCGGCACAGCGAAAGCGUUAAGUAAUCCACCUGGGGAGUACGCCGGCAACGGUGAAACUCAAAGGAAAUUGACAGAAAC
rnacentral:rRNA from 1 species